GACGAACGCUGGCGGCGUGCCUAAUACAUGCAAGUCGAACGGUCUUUUCUAUGGAAGCUUGCUUCCACUGAGAAGAUAGUGGCGAACGGGUGAGUAACACGUGGGUAACCUGCCCAUAAGAGGGGGAUAACAUCCGGAAACGGGUGCUAAUACCGCAUAGUUUUCUUGAUCGCAUGAUCGGGAAAGGAAAGACGGCCUUUGUGCUGCCGCUUAUGGAUGGACCCGCGGCGUAUUAGUUAGUUGGUGAGGUAAUGGCUAACCAAGACGAUGAUACGUAGCCGACCUGAGAGGGUGAUCGGCCACAUUGGGACUGAGACACGGCCCAAACUCCUACGGGAGGCAGCAGUAGGGAAUCUUCCGCAAUGGACGAAAGUCUGACGGAGCAACGCCGCGUGAAUGAAGAAGGUUUUCGGAUCGUAAAACUCUGUUGUCAGAGAAGAACAAGUUGGAGAGUAACUGCUCCAGCCUUGACGGUAUCUGACCAGAAAGCCACGGCUAACUACGUGCCAGCCGCCGCUGUAAAAC
rnacentral:rRNA from 1 species